rnacentral:rRNA from 1 species
GGAUUAGAUACCCUGGUAGUCCACGCCGUAAACGAUGUCUACUUGAAGGUUGUGAUCUUGAAUCGUGGCUUUCGGAGCUAACGCGUUAAGUAGACCGCCUGGGGAGUACGGUCGCAAGAUUAAAACUCAAAUGAAUUGACGGGGGCCCGCACAAGCGGUGGAGCAUGUGGUUUAAUUCGAUGCAACGCGAAGAACCUUACCUACUCUUGACAUCCAGAGAACCUUUUAGAGAUAGAAGGGUGCCUUCGGGAACUCUGAGACAGGUGCUGCAUGGCUGUCGUCAGCUCGUGCC